ACACAUGCAAGUCGAACGAGAGGACAAGAGAAGCUUGCUUCUUUUGGAAUCGAGUGGCAAACGGGUGAGUAACACGUAAACAACCUGCCUUCAGGAUGGGGACAACAGACGGAAACGACUGCUAAUACCGAAUACGCUUGGGAGACCGCAUGAUCUUCCAAGGAAAGGGUGGCCUCUACCUGUAAGCUAUCGCCUGAAGAGGGGUUUGCGUCUGAUUAGGCAGUUGGCGAGGUAACGGCCCACCAAACCUACGAUCAGUAGCCGGUCUGAGAGGAUGAACGGCCACACUGGAACUGAGACACGGUCCAGACUCCUACGGGAGGCAGCAGUGGGGAAUCUUCCGCAAUGGGCGAAAGCCUGACGGAGCAACGCCGCGUGAGUGAUGACGGCCUUCGGGUUGUAAAGCUCUGUGAUCGGGGACGAACGGUCCGUAAGUCAAUACCUUAUGGAAGUGACGGUACCCGAAUAGCAAGCCACGGCUAACUACGUGCCAGCAGCCGCGGUAAUACGUAGGUGGCAAGCGUUGUCCGGAAUUAUUGGGCGUAAAGCGCGCGCAGGCGGCUUUCUAAGUCCAUCUUAAAAGUGCGGGGCUUAACCCCGUGAUGGGAUGGAAACUGGAAAGCUGGAGUAUCGGAGAGGAAAGUGGAAUUCCUAGUGUAGCGGUGAAAUGCGUAGAGAUUAGGAAGAACAC
rnacentral:rRNA from 1 species